rnacentral:precursor_RNA from 15 species
UCCCCUCAAAAAAAAAGUCCCUUCAGCCGGCUUGGCACUCGCGAACACCGCGAUUUCACUUAUAACUCGCGGCGUUAGCUCUGUGUCAAACCGGCGUAGCUGAUGACUCAGAUUUAAAAUGU